GCCAGGGCCCACUUCCUGUUUCACAGGGGCUGAGCUGUGUCUCUCUUCCCUGGGCAGCACGUUCUGUUCCCUUCCCCAGAGGAGCCUCGGGGUCCAGCCAGCCUGCUGACCAGGGCUCUGCUAACGGGAAAGUCAACCACGCAGCACCCCAGGUCAUCAGCUCACCCUGAUGAGCCAGCCCCGGGGAUUCCGCCAGCCAGGGACUGUUUGAGAAGCAGGAACCCAGCGUCCGUCACAGGCUGUGUGGUCACCGCCUGCCAGGGCUGCGCAGGUCUACUACAGGCUCUCUCCACAGGCUGAAAUCAACCAGAGAAUAAGAGGCCAUGAGUGUCGGUCAAUCUCCCAGCACACAGAGAAGGCAGGAGAAAAGAGUUGCUCUGGAGGCCUGCACAGAAGGCAUCUGAGACGAUGACACAGAAUAUCUGAAAAAGAAGCAAAUUCAAAUUUCAGAGCUGAAAAGUACAAUAAUUAAAAUAAAUAAUUCAAUGAAUAAGUUUAACAAUAGACUAAACAUAGCCAAAGAGAGACUUAGUGAACUGGAAAAUAGGUUCAAAGAAAAUAUGCAAAAAUAAACAGAGAUCAAAAGCAACACAAAAUAAGAGAAAUAGAGCAGAGGUAAUGUUUAAAACUAUGAUUGGUGAUAAUUUUCCAGAGCAUUGAAAAAAUCAAUUCACAAAUUCUAUUUGAGAAACCCACAGGUUGGAGCUUGAGGAACCUCAGUUCACACCUAAACUCAUUCCAUGACCCUGCAGAUACAGAGAGGAGUCAUGGGUGAUGGAAGAAUAUGGGCAGUUGGAAGUUGAUGGAGUUGCCAACAAUUGAGUUGGGAGAGUGAGACACAUUUGAGAAAGUGGAGGAAUUACUUGCCAGGCCCCUUUAACUUUGAACCUCCUGACUCCUGGAAUUCUCCUAGGUAGCUGGACAAGAGGCCACUUCACUGCCUCCAGACCCUCUCCCAGCCCACAGAUUUGAGUCCAUUCCCUUCUCUUGCUUGGAGAUGGCAGUGGCCUUCUGCCUGGCCUCCCACUGCCCAGCCUUCACAUUGGCCACCAAUCAGCCUUCUAAAAAUUGCAAAUUAUCCCACGAGGCUGUGCUUCCCCACUCCUCUGGUUUUUAUGAAGAAGGAUUUCCCCUUAAUACUCUGGUGGCCCCUUGACCUCCCGCAGGUGGAGGGUGAAUUCUGACUCUGAGUUAGGGACUAGGGGCUGGCUCCUCUUUGCUACUUCCUUCUGGGCAGAGGCAGGGAGCUAUGUGCUGCCCUGACCUCCCACACCAUGCCCCAGGGGACCUGUGCUUCUUCUGCCCCUCCUGUGUCUGUUUGGGUCCAUCUGCCGAAUUCUGUGGUUCACCAUUAGGAAAUCCCCCUCCCCCAAAGAAGUUGCUGUGUUCAGGACACAGCAGGAAAAAGAAGGCUGCAUAGGGCUCCCUCCCUCCAACUCCAAGAGUGAAAGGCUCCCAUGCAGCCUGAUUUCAGGGCCCCUAACCACCUACAGAAGAAAGUUCAAAGUCUGGACAAGCCAGCACCCCCACUGACCUCACCAUCUGGAUGGACAUCAGCCCAAGCUACAGCCACCCUGCCCUCCUGCCGCUGGCGUGCACCUGCAUUCUCACCCAGCGCGCGGACAGCCCCUUGGAGGCUGUUUUAGGAGUCUCUCUCCCCCUCUUCACACGAGAGGAGAUCCUUGUCACAGCAGCGUCUUGGAGAAGUCCACGCGGGGAAAAAUGAAGCCUCCAGCCAGCAGCCUCAGGAGGGAGCCUGGAUCUUCCAUCGCUGGGUGCCUUCGGAAUGCAGCUCCCAUUAACCAGAAGCACUGGCUGAGUUGCUCCCAGAUUCCCGACUCUCACACACCAUGUCGCUUUUUUUUUAAAUUAUUAUUGGUUGUUCAAAACAUUACAAAGCUCUUGACAUA